rnacentral:rRNA from 1 species
AUGACUGUACUUGCCUGGAACUGUCGAGGAUUGAGGUUGGACUCGACAGUUGGCGAAUUAAGAGACCUGGUUAGGUCAUACAACCCAACUGUGGUUUUCUUAAGUGAGACUAAAAUGAAAGCUAGAGCGAUGGACAGGAUUAAAUCGAGACUUGGUUUAAGAGGAGGGGUAGCUGUGGAUUGUGUGGGAAAAAAUGGAGGGCUUGCAAUGUGGUGGCGUGAUAAUGUG